UUACGGCAAUAUCGCGUGGAAACGUCGGUUCUCGUCCGAUUACCGAAAUUAAGCAACGUCGAGCCUGGUCAGUACCUAGAUGGGUCAUCUCCUGGUAAUAUCAAGUGCUGUAA